rnacentral:rRNA from 1 species
CCCUUAGAUGUUCUGGGCCGCACACGCGCUACACUGAAGGAGGCAGCGUGUACUCCUGGAUCGAAAGAUUUGGGUAACCCGCGAAUCUCCUUCGUGCUAGGGAUUGAGGUUUGCAAUUAUCCUUCAUGAACGAGGAAUUCCCAGUAAGUGCAAGUCAUAAGCUUGCGCUGACUACGUCCCUACCCUUUGUACACACCGCCCGUCGCUACUACCGAUUGAAUGAUUUAGUGAGGACUUCGGACUGGGACCGAUGCGGCUUUCGGGCUGCGUCGGUAUUCUGGAAAGAUGUCCAAACUGUAUCAUUUAGAGGAAGUAAAANUCGUANCA